AUUGAACGCUGGCGGAAUGCUUUACACAUGCAAGUCGGGCGGCAGCAUGGACUCCGGUCUGAUGGCGAGCGGCGAACGGGUGAGUAAUGCAUCGGAACGUACCUAGUCGUGGGGGAUAACUACUCGAAAGAGUAGCUAAUACCGCAUACGUCCUACGGGAGAAAGCAGGGGAUCGCAAGACCUUGCGCGAUUGGAGCGGCCGAUGUCUGAUUAGCUAGUUGGUGGGGUAAAGCUCACCAAGGCGACGAUCAGUAGCGGGUCUGAGAGGAUGAUCCGCCACACUGGGGACUGAGACACGGCCCAGACUCCUACGGGAGGCAGCAGUGGGGAAUUUUGGACAAUGGGCGCAAGCCUGAUCCAGCCAUUCCGCGUGAGUGAAGAAGGCCUCGGGUUGUAAAGCUCUUUCGGCAGGAAAGAAGUCGCCCGCUCUAACAUAGCGGGUGGAUGACGGUACCUGAAGAAGAAGCACCGGCUAACUACGUGCCAGCAGCCGCGGUAAUACGUAAGGUGCGAGCGUUAAUCGGAAUUACUGGGCGU
rnacentral:rRNA from 1 species